rnacentral:rRNA from 1 species
GAGGAGGUAGCCAACACUGUUUUUUAUUUGUUUGUUUUUUUUUUUUUGUGUUUUAAUUGGGGUAGCCCCCAAAAUAUUGGGACAUAUAUAAAAGACAACUCUGUUGCGCAGGCACUUUGUUGACUCUAGAGAACCUCGGGCCAAUCGCACAUCCCUGUGACGGCGACUUUGCAUUUGGAUGUCAUCCAUAUCAACUUUCAAUGCCAGUUUCUGCAUCUAUCAUGGUGACCACGGGUAACGGGGAAUCAGGAUUCCAUUCCAUACAGGGACCCUGAGAAACGGCUACCACAUGCAAGGAAGGCAGCAGGCGCGCAAAUGACCCACUCCCGACGUGGGAAGGUAGUGAC